AGACUGAAUUGUUAAAUAUGUUGGUAACUAUUGAAGGGGCCUUGAAGGGUUCAAGGGAUAUAGUUCUCACAUGUGAAUUAUCAUUGGAAGGCACUCACUUGGGUGUCUUGUGGAUGUAAAUCAACAAAACCUAUUAAUCAGUGAUCAAUCAAGAUCCUCUUGGAGAUACACCUUUUUCUUAGAUGUUUUAUUUUCUACCUCUAUCUAUUUGAUUAUAAUUAUCAAGAUGAUUUUGGAUUCUAGGGUUUGGAUCAAAAGGCUUUCAAUUGUUUAAUCCAUGAUAAAUAUUUUAAAUUUUCAUAUUUUACUAUA
rnacentral:lncRNA from 1 species